AAAAUAUGAACAAUCAUAGUUUCAUGCUUUCAGGAAACCACCUUCUCUUCCAUCCUCUCCUUUGGCCUGCUCAGACAUCCAGACUUCUUAAAAAUAUUUUUCCCACAGGCUCAUGCAAAUUAAGGGAUGUGGCUGAGCAUCUGCUUCAGUGUCCUCAAGCAGGUCAUGAAUGUUGCAAAGCCCAGAAUUGUGCUAACCUGGUAGAAGGCUGGUUUAGCCAGAACACACAGAGAGGACCUUCUCAUGAUGGUGUGGCUGAAUUCCACAUGUUACUAACAGUAUCUUGCCCUGACCCGACUCCAAGUACUGAUCCCCAAGGAAGGCAUAAUAGAGAGCCCAUCUUGGGGAUGGAUGAUGACUUCAUGUGCAAAACAAGUCAAAUUCAGGAUGUGUGUUGUGGGCAGAGAUGGCAAUGCCCAGUCAUCUGUUAGGUAUACAGGUCUGCUGUACAGGAGAAAAAUCAGAACAGAAUUUAUGUUUGUAGUGUUUCUUUUAGAGGCUGGGGAAUUGAAACCACAGGUGAGUAAGAAUGUACAAGGAACCAGACCUUCUUGAAGAAAUAGCUGAUCCAGAUUGGUGUCAGGAGCUGUACAGGGGGAUCCAAGAAUGUCUUGUCAUACAAGCCGGACAGCUAUUAAAGACAACUGAGGUCAUGGCAAAAGGGCCCAGGCUUCUACUGGCCAACAAUAAGACAAUUUGAGCAUCCCAAAGAAUAAUGACUUUAGUGGACUGAAACACAUCAACAUGUAUACAUCCAUGAAUUCAUAAUACUCAAAACGGUAAAACCAAAUUCAUUUGUUACCUUUGGAGGAGUCUGUCACCUCUGAUUAUUCUGAAAACUGGUAAAUAAAAGGGGAAAAUUCAAGCAUUUAUUCUGUUUUUCUUGUAUAAACUGUACCUCACAGUUACUGAAGAGCUGAUAAGGGAAAUGUCUUCUUUAUUGAAAAAUUCAGCUGAUACAUUUGGAAGGAAUGAGAGAAUUAGAGUAUCACCAUUAGGUGACAACGAGGGUCCAGUUUUUUAUUUUUCUUUUGCUGAGUGCUGGGAACAUAGUGAUAACAAAAAAAGCCAUGGUGUUCUGGCCCUUGUGGAGUUUUGAUUCUAGCACAUUAAUCAAAUAAUCCCAGAGCAAAAAUAAAAUGGCAACUAUGGUAAGUGUAGACAAGGGAAAAUACACAGAACUUUUAACAGCUUAGAUCCGAGGAAGCUGACCAGCCUGCAAAAAGGGACAGCUUCCCUAGGGAAGUGACUUUGGAGCUGUGACGAUGGAUGACUAAGAGUUAACCAAGGAACGGAAGGAGGGACGAGGAGACACAGAAGGCUUUCCAGGCAGAAGCCAGAGCAUGUGCAAAGAUCCUGUGGCAAGAAGGAGCCUGGUGCAGGGGAGGAACGAAGAGACAUGCAAGCUGGCUGGAGUUCAGAGAGGGAGAUGGGCCGGCAGGUGGUUGGAUGGGGAGGCAAGGAUCAGAUCAUGAGUCCCUUGGAGAAGCAGGAAGGUAUCAUGAUGACUAAUGUCAGAGGCAGGGGAGGACAGGUAGGGAUAGACAGAGAAGCAGUGCUGGGAAGAUGCUAAAAUGCUGCAGUUUGUGCUUGGAAAGAUCAUGGCCUGGUUCUUCCAUUGUCAUGAUGGGUUGUUCUCUUUCUUAUUGUUUUUCUAAUUUGUCUUGACUAAUGGAGAAGAUCAGGAGCUCAAAAGAUAGCGGUUGUUUACAGCACUCAGUUUGGCUGCUAUAGGUUAAUGGGUUUAGACUCUUUAAGGGGAUUAGGCUUUUGCUCAGAGACCAGUGGAGUAUUCUAGCCAGGCUGUCUUGUGAAGGUGGUAUGUUAAGAACUAGGUUUGUCUGAUUUAUCAAAUUAAAAUGUGGUAUAUCAAAUUAAAUUUGAAUUUCAGAUAAAUAACAACUAAUUUCAGAUGUGUCAGAUAAAGAAUGAAUAUGGCUCUAGUACAAUAUGGGAUAAUGAAUAUUUUCAGAUAAAUAGAUGCCCUGUAUUCUGUGUAGCAAGCAUAACUAGAGAAUCAAUGUUAGUGCUCAAACUAAGAAGACUUUUGAGAAAUUAUCAGAGGUAAAUACAAAUAUACAUUUCCAUCCAUCCAUCCAUCCAUCCCUGUUGAGCUCCAACUAUGUGUCAGACACUUCUGGGGGGUUGAGGGUAUUGUGAUCAGUAAGACAAACUCUCUGCCUUUAUGGUGUUUACAUACUAGGAGAAAAAUAUUCAUCUUAGAGAGAUUAUAAAAAACAAAUCUUCAGAAAUAGUACCUGUUACAUCCAAAAUAGAGGAAUGUAUAAAUAAAUGUUAAUAUGAUGGACUAACACGCAGCCAUUACAAAAAUCCUGUUUUGAAGGCUAUUAAAUGUCAUGGUGAAUUGAUUCCAAUAUAAAAUCAAAUGAAAUAAAAGCAGUUCACAAAACCA
rnacentral:lncRNA from 1 species